GCUGGCGUCACCAGGACAACGGGCGUUGCCGGCGCCGUGUGACUCCGGGCUGCGGGCGCGCUCGCGGCUCUUCGGCCAUGGUUUUCUCAAAUAACGAUGAAGGCCUUAUUAACAAAAAGUUACCCAAAGAACUUCUCUUAAGAAUGCUGUUCAGCUUGUUGUUAAAUUUUACUUGGUCUAAUCCAGAAUGUACUAAGUAUGUACAUAGCAUUGGUCUGGAUUCUUUUUGUAAUGUGAAUAUUUUCCUUCUUGGAUAUAGUAACUUUGUGCCGAUGUGCACAAAUUUCCAAGGCCUGGAACAUUUUAGCCCUGGAUGGAAGCAACUGGCAAAGAAUAGACCUUUUUAACUUUCAGACAGAUGUGGAGGGUCGAGUCGUGGAAAAUAUCUCCAAGCGAUGCGGUGGGUUCCUGAGGAAGCUCAGCCUGCGGGGUUGCAUCGGUGUUGGGGACUCCUCCUUGAAGACCUUUGCACAGAACUGCCGCAACAUUGAACAUUUAAACCUCAAUGGUUGCACCAAAAUCACUGACAGCACGUGUUAUAGCCUUAGCAGAUUCUGUUCCAAGCUGAAACAUCUGGAUCUGACUUCCUGUGUGUCUAUUACAAACAGCUCCUUGAAAGGGAUCAGUGAGGGCUGCCGAAACCUGGAAUACCUGAACCUGUCGUGGUGUGACCAGAUCACGAAGGACGGCAUCGAGGCGCUGGUGCGAGGUUGUCGCGGCCUGAAAGCCCUGCUCCUGAGGGGCUGCACGCAGUUAGAAGACGAAGCCCUGAAGCACAUUCAGAAUUACUGCCACGAGCUCGUGAGCCUCAACCUACAGUCCUGCUCGCGCGUGACGGAUGAAGGAGUCGUGCACAUUUGCCGCGGCUGCCAUCGGCUGCAGGCCCUGUGCCUCUCGGGCUGCAGCCACCUCACGGACGCCUCCCUCACAGCCCUGGCUCUCAACUGCCCGCGACUCCAGAUUUUGGAGGCUGCUCGGUGUUCCCAUUUGACUGAUGCAGGCUUUACACUUCUAGCUCGGAAUUGCCACGAUCUGGAGAAGAUGGAUCUUGAAGAAUGCGUCCUGAUAACCGACAGCACUCUCAUCCAGCUCUCCGUCCACUGUCCCAAGCUGCAAGCCCUGAGUCUGUCCCACUGUGAGCUCAUCACAGAUGAUGGGAUCCUGCACCUGAGCAACAGCACCUGCGGCCACGAGAGGCUGCGGGUCCUAGAACUAGACAACUGUCUCCUCAUCACCGACGUGGCCCUGGAGCACCUGGAGAACUGCCGCGGCCUGGAGCGCCUGGAGCUGUACGACUGCCAGCAGGUCACCCGCGCGGGCAUCAAGCGGAUGCGGGCUCAGCUCCCUCACGUCAAAGUCCACGCCUACUUUGCUCCCGUCACCCCCCCGACAGCAGUGGGAGGAAGCGGACAGCGACUGUGCAGGUGCUGUGUCAUUCUCUGACGGCAGCGGCCGAGCCCAAGGCGCGAGGUGUCCCCUCCUCCAGAGAAGACCCAGGUCUUCCCGACCUGCCCCACCUUCGCCCAGAUCUCUUGGUUCUCCAUUGGGAAAGGCACAUUCAGGUAAAAGACUCCGGUAGGGACCGCAGUAACUCCGGUGAGAGUUUUCACCUUUAUUCUGCUACGAGGCAACCACGUCACAGCCCGGAGUCUGGUGGCACGAGGCAAGAGCGGUAGGCCUCGGGGUGGCUGGGCCACACGGGAGAGGUGGGGGCCUUCUUAGGAAGUCCCGCCCUUGGCUUUGUCGGCGCUCCUCAGACCGACCAUCAGUGUUAGCACAAAUUGAGCAGAAGAAAUAAGCUGUUGAUCUUCUAGCUGAUACUUAAGCCAGCGGCCUACUUUAACUCACACUGAUUCCAUUUUGACGAGCGGGACUUUUCCACUUGUAAGACUAAAUAGCAACUUUCUCAAAGUGACUGUACUGCAAAUCCACGAUGCCUGCUGGUUUUGUAUGUAGAGCCUUGGGUGGGAGGCAAGUUAGCCGGUUUCCACGAGACACCAAAGAAAUGAGGACUCUGAACUGGGUGGGGCAGGGUCUUCACCCUUCUGUGUCCGUCAGCUUGUCACACACACUUUUGGGAACCGAGAGCUAAACACACACGGCUCGGAGGUCGUGUCGCUGCCUGACCAGACAGGGGCUGUGGCCCGUGCCGUGGCACGGAGUGCGUUUUCGUUAUAGGAGAAGAGCUAAUCACGCCAUCUCUCGCAAGACCUGGGGGACCUUAAAGAAACAGAACGACGGCUUAAGUUAUCUACAAUAUAAUCAAUUAAAAAUAAUGAAUGGA